AACGUAGGAGGCAAGCGUUAUCCGGAUUUACUGGGCGUAAAGCGCGUGUAGGCGGUUGUCCAAGUUGGAUGUGAAAGCCUUGAGCUUAACUCAGGAAAUGCAUUCAGGACUGGAUGACUAGAGGACCGGAGAGGAUAGUGGAAUUCCCAGUGUAGUGGUGAAAUACGUAGAGAUUGGGAAGAACACCAGUGGCGAAGGCGGCUAUCUGGACGGUUUCUGACGCUAAGACGCGAAAGCGUGGGGAGCAAACAGG
rnacentral:rRNA from 1 species